rnacentral:rRNA from 1 species
AACAUCUUCGGAGUUAGUGGCGGACGGGUGAGUAACACGUGGGAACGUGCCUUUAGGUUCGGAAUAACUCAGGGAAACUUGUGCUAAUACCGAAUGUGCCCUUCGGGGGAAAGAUUUAUCGCCUUUAGAGCGGCCCGCGUCUGAUUAGCUAGUUGGUGAGGUAAAGGCUCACCAAGGCGACGAUCAGUAGCUGGUCUGAGAGGAUGAUCAGCCACAUUGGGACUGAGACACGGCCCAAACUACUACGGGAGGCAGCAGUGGGGAAUCUUGCGCAAUGGGCGAAAGCCUGACGCAGCCAUGCCGCGUGAAUGAUGAAGGUCUUAGGAUUGUAAAAUUCUUUCACCGGGGACGAUAAUGACGGUACCCGGAGAAGAAGCCCCGGCUAACUUCGUGCCAGCAGCCGCGGUAAUACGAAGGGGGCUAGCGUUGCUCGGAAUUACUGGGCGUAAAGGGAGCGUAGGCGGACAUUUAAGUCAGGGGUGAAAUCCCGGGGCUCAACCUCGGAAUUGCCUUUGAUACUGGGUGUCUUGAGUAUGAGAGAGGUGUGUGGAACUCCGAGUGUAGAGGUGAAAUUCGUAGAUAUUCGGAAGAACACCAGUGGCGAAGGCGACACACUGGCUCAUUACUGACGCUGAGGCUCGAAAGCGUGGGGAGCAAACAGGAUUAGAUACCCUGGUAGUCCACGCCGUAAACGAUGAUUGCUAGUUGUCGGGAUGCAUGCAUUUCGGUGACGCAGCUAACGCAUUAAGCAAUCCGCCUGG